CGGACGUCCCACCCCCGCAGGGAGCUGCGCCCGCUGCCCGGGCCUGGCCCCGCACCGCCCGCCCAACCUCUCCCCCCUAGCUGCCCGGACGGUCGGCUCCGGCGGAGAGAAACGGGAGCAACAGUGCCUUUUCCCCCCCUCUCCUCCACUUUUUUUUGUUGUUGUUGUUGCUUUCCCACGCUGGCUGAAUGUGACUUGACCCCAUUUCAAAAAAGUUUGACAUAGUGCUUCAACAUUUCCGCAUUCCUCCGCGACUACAAAGGCUGCAGCCGCCUCCCUCUGCUUUCUGUCUCUGCUCUCUGUCUUCACACUCAAUGAAAUCCUUCAUGUGCCUCUCCCGAAGCCUGCCAAGCACCGCAAGGGUCGCCACCAGCGCAGCGACAAGAGGCCGCACUGGGACCACGACUCCCGCGUGUGCGCACACGCAGAUGCGCCCCACGUGCACACUGUCGGGCGCAAUGCAGGGCCCGGAGCUGCUUACCGCAGGGUGUGCGUUUUAACUCGGAUAUUUUAAAUUAUAAAAGUAAAUUAUACUUUAUAAACUAAAGCAAACGUGCGUCUUUGUGGGGCUCCAAGCCUGUGCACUGGCCGCCUGCGUGCACUCCAGUAAGUGUGGAUAACACCCCCGCAGGGGCUGCCAGCAAGAAGCCUGCGUUAACAUUUAUCUCGUGGUGAGGAAGGUGGAGGCCACACCCACACCUCCGCGAGCUGGGGAGAGAGCUUUCGUGGGGAAAUGAAUAUGGGGCACGGAAACACAUUGUCCCGCAUGGAGUCCCCAGAGGCAGUGCAUUUUAAACUCUAAAGUGUGGAUUAUUCUGUGAAUGUCUGAGUGGAGUUGAUAUUCCGCUUUAAGAAGCUGGAUGAGUGUGUGGGUGUUUGUGCGUAAGGCUAUGUGGGAGUAGGCACAGGAUCUUAGUGUUCGGGGUGUCCCUAGGGUAGGCUGUCCUCCUCUCGCCAGAUUAGGAGGGACUCCUCUAGCUCCCCAAAAUUGCUCUCCGUAAUUAGCCUGCCUCGGUUCGUAAGGGGUUAACUAAAGCCGAUUUCGAAUACACCCCCCCCCCACCACCACCAUCACAGUCACCCCCACCCACACCCUGGCUUCCGACCCUGGCCAAGCUCCCAAAUCUCCCCCGGGGACCCCCCACCCAGCAGCCCACCCACACCAACGCACGGCUCCUCACCUGCGGGGCCCUGCCGCGUCAGGCCUCCGGAGGGGGCUGCGAGUGUCUGUCCGACCUCCGCACGUGUCCACAGCGGCGCCAAGCAGGUAAUACUUGAAUCUCCGCUGCACACAUGGCCUAACAAUUGUGUUGGCAUAACUGCCUUUGGUUGAGCUGAAAGUUUACUUAUUUUGAGAGAGAGAAAGCACAAGCAGCAGAGGGGCACAGAGGAGCAAAGAC